UGGCGGCGGCCUCGGCUGCGGGCGGGCGGCGGGCCCGCUGUGCGCGCCGGCGGAUCCGGGGCUCGGGGGCGGCGGCGGCGGCGCCGGGGCCUGGGCGCGGAGUCUGCAGUUUCUGGCGCGCCGCGUGCAGCUGGUAGGAGAGGUAGGCGGCCGCCUCGGUGUGCUUCUGCAGCUCAGUGCCCAGCACGGUGGCUCGGUGGCUGCGGCGACGCAGCUCCUCCAGGAAGCGGCGCUCCUCGGCGCGCAGGCUGCAGCGCAGCGCCGACACCAGCGCCUCGCGCUGCGCCACCUCCCGCCGCAGCUCCGCGUUGGCCGCCACCCGCGCCGCCAGCUGUGACUCCAGCUCGCGGCACUUGCUCUCCAGCUCCCGGGACGCCAACUCUGGGCAGGGGAGAGGGAGGGGAGAGUGAGGGUCCCCGCCUGGCUGUAUCUGCACAGCUCACCGAUCCUCAGAGCGAAGCCCGGCACCCCCCGCCCCCGACUGCACGUCCUGCGGCGCUCGCCCUCACUCCCCAAGCGCCUGCGACGCUGGCCUGCCUCUUUCCUCCUCGAGGCCCUUGCACCUAUCUUGCUUUCUGUUUGGCCACUCUGAUUCUUCAGUGCGCCCCUUAAGUUUAAGUGCAAACCCUUCCCUGACCAUUUAUUCACUCCAUGACUGUUUGUUGAGCCCUGACUCUGUGCGUUGUAUUAGGCAUUGUGGGUAUGGUGGAUAGUAAAACAUUCCUCAAGCUCACAGCAAGCAUAGAAUGUGAGGUUGCAUCUGUGACACGUGCCAAUACCACGACUGUAACAGGAGACUGUGACCUAAUCAGGGAAGGCUUCUCAGCCGAAGAGGAACUUGGGCUAGGAUCUGACAGGUGAAUAGGAAUUAAGUAGUGAACAGGGGAGAGAAGGGUGCUUUGGACAGAGGGUAGGACUUGUGCAAAAGCCCCGUAGCAGGAGAGACAUACAAGAACAAGGGACUGAAAGAACUGGGAGUGUGAGCAGAAAAGGGGAGUCAGUGUGCUGCGAACCUUGUUUCCUUCAUAAAGAGCAUUUAUUACAUUUUGUGGGGUUUUUUUAAACUUGUUUAUUGUUUGCCUUUGCCCACUGCAUUGGGUUUCAAACCUGGAUAUACACUGGAACCAUCCAGAGAACUUUAAAAAAUAGUUUUCUUGGGUCCUAUCAAAAUAUCAAGUACUGGGAAAGGGUACUUCUUAAAUCUUCCCUGGUGAUUCUCAUGUACCCACAGGGUUGAGGACCCCUACCUCCUGGAUCAUAAACUCCAAUUCAGCAGGGUCUGUAUCCCAGGACUGGCACAUGUGAAUGGUGACAAAGGACUAUGUUCCUUGAAGUCAAAGACCCCAUAUUGCCAUCGUGUUGAACCUUGACACUCAGCGUCUUGGAGGGUGUGGACACGGACUGUGAGAAUCACUGGUGCAAGGAUGAGAAGGAUUAGGGAGGAAGCUGAUGUGGCGUUGCACGCUCUGGAUCUGAUGCUCCAGGGACACGGUAUCCAUGGCAACCCAGGCCUGGGCCCCACCUGGGGAGGAUGACAAGGUGAACCCACAUCUUCUGGGCCCAUCCACCCUGCCAACCUUCAGGUCCUUUCAAUUGUCUCCUUCAGUCUGGGGUCCUGUUGUACCGGGCAAAUGAUUCUGCCACUGAAGUCAUUUGUAUUUACUCACUGAAGCUUCAUAAACAAGCGGUGUGUUGGCAGGAAGUAUAAUUAUUCCCAUUUAACAGAUGAAGAACCAGAGGCUCAGAGGGAAAUGGCUUUACUCCCUUGCCCCCAUGUAACUUUAGCCUCUUCUGUAUCUCUGAGAGGAAAACAAAUGGGGCAGCAAAGUCAGUAAAGAGAGACAGACAUUUGGGUUCUAGUCUGCUUCUUCACAAGCUGUGUGACUUUGGGCAAGCCCUCUCUCUCUCUAGGCUCUCAGUUUUCUCCUGGGUAAAAUUAGGGAAUUGUGGAGAGGAUGAAUGCUGAAGCCUCUCCAGCUCUGCCAUCCCUCAAGCAUCCCAGCUCAAAGGUGACCGUCAACUGGCAGGGCAGUGUGAUGGUUAGAGCACAACCCUCCGUCAAUUCAAUUCCAUUUCUCUGAUUUAACCUCAGCCCAGGGCUCUGGACUCUUCCAUGUCACAGAAGAGGAAGAUCUGAUGAAUGUUUUAUUAAUACUGAUCCUGUGGGCUGAGGGCAGGUGGUGGAGUCCCUUUUUCCAAGAGGAAUGGGGGAGGGUCAUAUGGAGACCUAAGCAGUAGAUCCACGGUAGAAGCUUAUGACACUGUGAUGGGAGAGGGAGGCUUGCAUCCCUGAAUCCUAGUGAUGGCCUGGCUUUUCAGCACUCUCUCUUCUGACCCUGCCCCUUUCCCAGUGAGUCUCUUCUGUGAUGAUCAGCGUCUUGGAAAAGCAUAGGCAGAGGGCAAAAACAGGAGGAGGCAGAGGGCAGCAGAAGCCGAGACCUCUGGAAUCCAGGACUCAAAGCUCAUGCCUUCUCUGCCAGGGACUCCCAAAGCUUGUGACGGCCCUUCCUCCACCUGCCCUAGGAAUUCCCUGGCCAGAGGAGAGGAAAACCAGUUGAUGGAUUGUUCCGUUCAGCAAUGGUCCCCUUGAAACAGGCUUUCUGGUAAGCCUCUGCAGAGGAAGAUUUUCAUUUGUAGGGUCACAUCCAGCAGGUGCACCUGAGAACCUCACGUUCAUAGGUUCCUCUCUUGGGGCCCCCCUUCCCUUGUACCUGUAUGGCCUCCCUAAUCCAACCAAAUGGACUUUCACUUCAGCAGCGGGGUGGGUGGCCCUUUGGCCUGUGGGAAUCACUGGUUACAUUUACUGACCAUCUGCUAUAUUUAGGGAACUUUAUGCACAUUAUCUUACUUCUGCCGACCACUCUUCAGUAGGUAUCACCACCUCCAUUUCACAAACAAAGAAACAGACUCAGAGCUGAAGUGACUUGUGCCAGUUCACGUGGUCAGUAAGUGGCAGCGGAUCCAAUUCUCCAACCAAGUCUUUUGAAUCCAAAGAAGUUUCCCAGUAUUUACACUGAAAACAGUCCUGGGUUUGAAUCCUAGGUUUUUCGGUUCCCUGCUGUGUGACUUGGGGCAAGAAGGUUAACCUCUCUAAACCUUGCUUCCCCUCUCUGUAAAAUGAGGCUACUAACAGUAGCAGUCCUAGGAUAGGUGUGAGGGUUAAAUGAAAUUAGAAAUUGUAGAGCAUUUAGCACAGAACCUGGCUCAAUCAAUGCCUCAUCCCUUCUCCUCCCUGUUUAAUGUCUGAGUAGGUUAAUCCCUGCCCUGAUUUGCCCAUUUGUUCAUCAUUCAUUCAUUCAAUGAUCCACUAUUACCAACCACUGUGCUGGGUACAGGGACAUAGUGAUGAACAAAACAGUAUUCCUGCUUUCUGCUCUCAUGGAGCUCACAGGGCCAAGAGAAGAGAAUCAAACAAAUAAACAGGUACAUCAAACAAACAAAUAAUACAAAUAAGUUUACAGUUACAAUCUAUAAGUGCUGUGAAAGAAACAUGCAGGGUAACGUUGAAAGAAUAUAAAGUGGGACCUAGUUUAGAUCUGGGGUCAGGGAAGGUAUCUUUGUGGAAAUGAUUUUAGGCUGAGAGACUUCCCUGGUGGCGCAGUGGAUAAGAAUCCACGCUCCCAAUGCAGGGGGCCCGGGUUCGAUCCCUGGUUAGGGAACUAGAUCCCACAUUCAUGCCGCAACUAAGAGUUCACGUGCCACAGCUAAGGAGCCCGUGUGCCGCAAAUAAGGAGCCCAUGAGCCGCAAAUAAGAGCCCACGUGCUGCAACGAAGACCUGGUGCAACCAAAUAAAUAUUUAAAAAUGAAAAGAAAUGAUUUUAGGCUGAGACCUUGUGGCAGGCAGAAUUCCAAGGUGGUCCCCAAGAUUCCCAGCCCCUGAUAUAUACACCCUCUAACAUUCUCCCCUCCCCUUGGGUGUGGGUGGGAUUGUGAAUAUGAUAGAUUUCAUUCCUCUGAUUAGGUUUUAUGACAAAGGUGAAGGAUUUUACAGAUGUAAUUAAGGUCUCCAAUCAGUUGACUUUGAGUUAAAAACAAAAGGAAGAUUAUUCUGGGUGGGCCAGGUUCUAAGGGCCCUUGCUAUAGGAAGAGAUCUGAAGGGUGAGAGAAAUUUGGCUUCUGGCCUAGAAGGGGUAAACUGCCAUGCUGUGAGACAGCCUGUGCAGGAAGCCAUAGGCAAGAACCUGAGCGAGGGCUCUAGUAGCUGAGAAUGGUCCCUGAUUGACAGCUAGCAAGAAAAUGGGGACUCCAGUCCUACAGCUGCAGGGAAGUAAAUACUGCCAACAACCUAAGGUAUCUUGGAAACGGAUCUUUCCCUAGUUGAACCUUCAGAGAAGGAUGCAGCCCCACCUUGAUUUCAGCCUUAGGAGACCCUGAGUGGAGGACCCCAGUAAAAGGUGCCAGACUUCUGAUCCUUGGAAACUGUGAGAUGAUAAAUUUAUGCAGCAAAAGAAAACUAAUGCAGACUUGAAGGGGGGUAGGAGUUAGAAGACUAAAGGGAAGAGCAUUCCGCACAGGGAACAGCAUCUGUGAAGGCCCAGAGGUAGAAUAAUGAUAGCUUACAUUUACUGAGUGCCUACUGUGUGCCAGGCUUUGCACUAAGUGCUUUAUGUGGUCUUUUUGAGGAACGGAGACAUUGCCACUGCUGGUGAAGUUGAAGUGUAAGGUAUUAGCGGAGAGUUGCAGGAAGCGAGGUUAGCAAGUGAAAGAUCACACAGGGACUUAAAACUGUGUUAAGAAUUUUGGACGAAUACUAAAUGAAUUGGGAAGUUAUUAAAGGAUUUUAAGCAGGAGAUGGACGUGAUAUGAUUUGCAUUUUUAAAAGAUCACUGGCUGUUGUGGGGAGGGCAGAUUAGAGGGGGCAGAGUGGAUGUGGGGAGGUCAGCUGGGAAAAUGUAGCAGUUAUUAAGGUGAGAGAUGACAAAGGCCUGGACCGGAUGAUGGAGGUAGAGUUGGAGACAAGUUCCAGGUGUAUUUUAUGGGUAGAACUGGCAGGAUGAGGGGAUGGCUUGGAUUAGAUCAUGAUGAUGGGGAAGGGGAUGUCCAGGAUAUCUCCCAGUUUUCCAGUUUGGGAAACUCAAGUAUGAAGGCACUUUUUGCUGGAUCUUUCCCCAUUUCUUCAUCUUUCAUGCUGGACCUCUUUCACAUUGGAUCUCUUCUAUAAUCACUCCUUCCAUGAUCUCAUCCAAUCCAAUGGCUGUAAAUGCUAUUUAUAUGCUGACCCCUAAACUAAAUCUCCUAAUACCUCCACUUGGGUGUCUAAUAGGUCCCUCAAACUUACAAGGUUCAAUACUGAACUCUUAUGAUCCCUCCUACAAGCCUGCUCUGGCCCAGUGUUCGCUAUCUUGAUAAAGGGCACUUGGUUGCUCAGGCCAAAAACCUAGGAGUCAUCUUUGAUUCCUUUCUUUUUUCUUUCUUUAUUUUAAAAUUUGUGUUUGGCUGUGUUGGGUCUUUGUUGCUGC